rnacentral:rRNA from 1 species
UGGGGAAUAUUGGACAAUGGGGGAAACCCUGAUCCAGCCAUGCCGCGUGAAUGAUGAAGGCCUUCGGGUUGUAAAGUUCUUUUGGUAGGGACGAUGAUGACGGUACCUACAGAAUAAGCUCCGGCUAACUUCGUGCCAGCAGCCGCGGUAAUACGAAGGGAGCUAGCGUUGUUCGGAAUUACUGGGCGUAAAGGGUGCGUAGGCGGUUCGAUAAGUCAGAUGUGAAAGCCCUGGGCUCAACCCGGGAACUGCGUUUGAGACUGUCGAGCUUGAAUUCGGUAGAGGUGAGUGGAAUUCCCAGUGUAGAGGUGAAAUUCGUAGAUAUUGGGAAGAACACCGGUGGCGAAGGCGGCUCACUGGACCGACAUUGACGCUGAGGCACGAAAGCGUGGGGAGCAAACA